AUGUACAUUCCUACAAAAUAGUGUUAAUGCAUCGGAUCCCAUUAGAAAUCUGCAGUUAAGCACGCUCAGGCUAGAGUAGUACUGGGAUGAGUGACCACCUAGGAAGUCCUAGUGUUUUACAUG
rfam:Picea glauca, whole genome shotgun sequence.